UACGUAGGGCGCAAGCGUUAUCCGGAAUUAUUGGGCGUAAAGAGCUCGUAGGCGGUUUGUCGCGUCUGCCGUGAAAGUCCGGGGCUCAACUCCGGAUCUGCGGUGGGUACGGGCAGGCUAGAGUGAUGUAGGGGAGGCUGGAAUUCCUGGUGUAGCGGUGAAAUGCGCAGAUAUCAGGAGGAACACCGAUGGCGAAGGCAGGUCUCUGGGCAUUAACUGACGCUGAGGAGCGAAAGCAUGGGGAGCGAACAGG
rnacentral:rRNA from 1 species